rnacentral:sRNA from 1 species
ACUUGUUGUGGUGAUAUUAGAUGUAUAUGUGUAUCUAUACCUCCAGCAGUAACUAUAAGACCUUCUGCUGAUAUAGCUUCUGUAGAUGCUCCCACUACCAUAUUAGGAGUAACACCAUCCAUAAUAUCCGGAUUUCCUGCUUUUCCUAUUCCAACUAUAUUUCCAUUUUUUAUUCCUAUAUCAGCUUUGACUAUACCUGUGCUAUCAACUAUAAGAGCAUUAGUUAUUACUAAAUCUAAAGCUCCAUUUUCACUAGUUAUAUUUACGCAUUGGCCCAUACCAUCUCG